UACGGAGGGUGCAAGCGUUAAUCGGAAUUACUGGGCGUAAAGCGUGCGCAGGCGGUUUGUUAAGUCCGCUGUGAAAUCCCCGAGCUCAACUUGGGAAUUGCAGUGGAUACUGGCAAGCUGGAGUAUGGUAGAGGAAGGUGGAAUUCCCGGUGUAGCAGUGAAAUGCGUAGAGAUCGGGAGGAACACCAGUGGCGAAGGCGGCAUCCUGGACCGGCAUUGACGCUGAGUGAGCGAAAGCCAGGGGAGCAAACGGG
rnacentral:rRNA from 1 species